CUCAGCUCCUGGGGCUCCUGGUGCUCUGGCUGCCAGGUGCCAGAUGUGACAUCCAGAUGACCCAGUCUCCAUCCUCCCUGUCUGCAUCUGUAGGAGACAGAGUCACCAUCACUUGCCGGGCGAGUCAGGAGAUCG